AGCGAACGGACGAGAAGCUUGCUUCUCUGAUGUUAGCGGCGGACGGGUGAGUAACACGUGGAUAACCUACCUAUAAGACUGGGAUAACUUCGGGAAACCGGAGCUAAUACCGGAUAAUAUUUUGAACCGCAUGGUUCAAAAGUGAAAGACGGUCUUGCUGUCACUUAUAGAUGGAUCCGCGCUGCAUUAGCUAGUUGGUAAGGUAACGGCUUACCAAGGCAACGAUGCAUAGCCGACCUGAGAGGGUGAUCGGCCACACUGGAACUGAGACACGGUCCAGACUCCUACGGGAGGCAGCAGUAGGGAAUCUUCCGCAAUGGGCGAAAGCCUGACGGAGCAACGCCGCGUGAGUGAUGAAGGUCUUCGGAUCGUAAAACUCUGUUAUUAGGGAAGAACAUAUGUGUAAGUAACUGUGCACAUCUUGACGGUACCUAAUCAGAAAGCCACGGCUAACUACGUGCCAGCAGCCGCGGUAAUACGUAGGUGGCAAGCGUUAUCCGGAAUUAUUGGGCGUAAAGCGCGCGUAGGCGGUUUUUUAAGUCUGAUGUGAAAGCCCACGGCUCAACCGUGGAGGGUCAUUGGAAACUGGAAAACUUGAGUGCAGAAGAGGAAAGUGGAAUUCCAUGUGUAGCGGUGAAAUGCGCAGAGAUAUGGAGGAACACCAGUGGCGAAGGCGACUUUCUGGUCUGUAACUGACGCUGAUGUGCGAAAGCGUGGGGAUCAAACAGGAUUAGAUACCCUGGUAGUCCACGCCGUAAACGAUGAGUGCUAAGUGUUAGGGGGUUUCCGCCCCUUAGUGCUGCAGCUAACGCAUUAAGCACUCCGCCUGGGGAGUACGACCGCAAGGUUGAAACUCAAAGGAAUUGACGGGGACCCGCACAAGCGGUGGAGCAUGUGGUUUAAUUCGAAGCAACGCGAAGAACCUUACCAAAUCUUGACAUCCUUUGACAACUCUAGAGAUAGAGCCUUCCCCUUCGGGGGACAAAGUGACAGGUGGUGCAUGGUUGUCGUCAGCUCGUGUCGUGAGAUGUUGGGUUAAGUCCCGCAACGAGCGCAACCCUUAAGCUUAGUUGCCAUCAUUAAGUUGGGCACUCUAAGUUGACUGCCGGUGACAAACCGGAGGAAGGUGGGGAUGACGUCAAAUCAUCAUGCCCCUUAUGAUUUGGGCUACACACGUGCUACAAUGGACAAUACAAAGGGCAGCGAAACCGCGAGGUCAAGCAAAUCCCAUAAAGUUGUUCUCAGUUCGGAUUGUAGUCUGCAACUCGACUACAUGAAGCUGGAAUCGCUAGUAAUCGUAGAUCAGCAUGCUACGGUGAAUACGUUCCCGGGUCUUGUACACACCGCCCGUCACACCACGAGAGUUUGUAACACCCGAAGCCGGUGGAGUAACCUUUUAGGAGCUAGCCGUCGAAGGUGGGACAAAUGAUUGGGGUGAAGUCGUAACAAGGUAGCCGUAUCGGAAGGUGCGGCUGGAUCACCU
rnacentral:rRNA from 1 species